ACAGAAUGAAUAACAGAAAGCCACCAUCAAUGUUAUUCACUAAAAGAGUUAAUAGUGAGUAACAGGGUGUGCAGUAAGUGGCACAGUGUGAGUGGUAAGGCACGUGUGGUUAUUGCAGGAAACCCCACUCGGCCCGUCUGUAUGAAGGUUACAUACAAAGAUCAAGCUGUUCUUUCCAUUGUGUGAGAAAACACACUGGCUGUGAGUAUUUGUGCUAUUGCCAAUGUGCACCAGAGUAUAUUCACUUGGGCACAGGUAGGAGAGGUACUUGGGCGCAGGUAGGAGAGGUACUUGGGCGCAGGUAGGAGAGGUACUUGGGCGCAGGUAGGAGAGGCACUUGGGCGCAGGUAGGAGAGGUACUUGGGCGCAGGUAGGAGAGGUACUUGGGCGCAGGUAGGAGAGGUACUUGGGCGCAGGUAGGAGAGGUACUUGGGCGCAGGUAGGAGAGGUACUUGGGCGCAGGUGGGAGAGGUACUUGGGCGCAGGUAGGAGAGGUACUUGGGCGCAGGUAGGAGAGGUACUUGGGCACAGGUAGGAGAGGUACUUACUUGGGCGCAGGUAGGAGAGGUACUUGGGCGCAGGUAGGAGAGGUACUUGGGCACAGGUAGGAGAGGUACUUGGGCGCAGGUAGGAGAGGUACUUACUUGGGCGCAGGUAGGAGAGGUACUUGGGCACAGGUAGGAGAGGUACUUAGCCAACAUGC